AAUGCUUAGGAAUCUGCCUAUUAGUGGGGGACAACAUUCCGAAAGGAAUGCUAAUACCGCAUACGCCCUACGGGGGAAAGCAGGGGAUCUUCGGACCUUGCGCUAAUAGAUGAGCCUAAGUCAGAUUAGCUAGUUGGUGGGGUAAAGGCCUACCAAGGCGACGAUCUGUAGCGGGUCUGAGAGGAUGAUCCGCCACACUGGGACUGAGACACGGCCCAGACUCCUACGGGAGGCAGCAGUGGGGAAUAUUGGACAAUGGGCGCAAGCCUGAUCCAGCCAUGCCGCGUGUGUGAAGAAGGCCUUUUGGUUGUAAAGCACUUUAAGCGAGGAGGAGGCUACCUGGAUUAAUACUCUAGGAUAGUGGACGUUACUCGCAGAAUAAGCACCGGCUAACUCUGUGCCAGCAGCCGCGGUAAUACAGAGGGUGCGAGCGUUAAUCGGAUUUACUGGGCGUAAAGCGUGCGUAGGCGGCUUUUUAAGUCGGAUGUGAAAUCCCUGAGCUUAACUUAGGAAUUGCAUUCGAUACUGGGAAGCUAGAGUAUGGGAGAGGAUGGUAGAAUUCCAGGUGUAGCGGUGAAAUGCGUAGAGAUCUGGAGG
rnacentral:rRNA from 1 species